rnacentral:rRNA from 1 species
CAGCAGCCGCGGUAAUACGUAGGGUGCAAGCGUUAAUCGGAAUUACUGGGCGUAAAGCGUGCGCAGGCGGUUAUAUAAGACAGAUGUGAAAUCCCCGGGCUCAACCUGGGAACUGCAUUUGUGACUGUAUAGCUAGAGUACGGCAGAGGGGGAUGGAAUUCCGCGUGUAGCAGUGAAAUGCGUAGAUAUGCGGAGGAACACCGAUGGCGAAGGCAAUCCCCUGGGCCUGUACUGACGCUCAUGCACGAAAGCGUGGGGAGCAAACAGGAUUAGAGACCCCAGUAGUCCCUGUCUCUUAUAC